GAGAGAGAGAGAGAAAGAGAGAGAACAGCCAUACUGAAAACGUCUUUGUGGAUGCAGACAAAAGAGAACAGAAAUUUUGAAAGGUCGGUAUUAUCAUACAGAUCAUAAGAUUGUGAAAUACGAAGCAGAUGCAUGUACGAUUUAAAAAAUAAGGAGAGUUACCGAAAAUAUCACCAGAGAAGUGAUUAUAUGAAGAAAAUUAUGAUAGAUCGUAUUGUGCUGAAACUAGGAGAAGAGAAAGACUCAUAAUCUUUCUAAAGUCCAACGUAGGUACAAGAACCCAUGUAUGUAAAUGAUCGUUCGUUUCACUCACCUCAAAGCCGCGUACAAACCGCAGCAGUAUUCAACCAGUGUUAGAUACAGAACGUCGAAUACAACGAG